CAUGUAGAUACUACUACACAACCUCAUCGCUGUGGCGAAACUAGUGGUUCACCAACUUUGGAAUACAUUUUAAUGUGCUGAUUAACAUUUAUCCAAUAAACAUGUACAAUUAAUCUGAUAAUUGAUACCAUAAAGUUUCACUAAUAAUUCUAUCCUCACCUUUCACCUAACAACCACAAGGGUAAACCUUACCCGGAACAUGCUGAUUUUGGUGGCAAAAAUAUCCAAACCGAAAUUUGAUGGAACACUUACGAACAGCAAAGCUAAUCAUGCGCUUUGGCUUUUUCUCUGUCACUGAUUAACGAUUACUAUCUGCUCUGCUCACUUUGUAUACCCAGUUCCGGUGACAGGUUCAUACAGUUUUGAUUUGCUAUUAUCUAAUCUUCAGUGUGCUUGUUCUGAAUUUCAGACUCUCCUUUCGUUGAUUAUUAUUGGACUUUUGCGUUUCUAUGGCUGUCUUAGUGCUCUGUUCUUCAACCAUGUGUAGUAGCAAUUUGUCCUCUUGUGCUUCUAGUGACACCAAUGUUUAUGUUAUGAGCAAUAAUGGGUUCUUUGGAGGGAUCCCAUUUGUCAAAAUGAAAUCUUUUCCAAAUGGGUCUUUGGUAAAUUGGAAGAAACAUGGAAAGAGACAAUUGGGUCUUCGUGUGUUUGAGACAAGAUGUGCCCAUGAGGUAGUUGUGGUGAAUGGUAAGAGCAUAAGUAGUGUGUCUUCUGAAGAAGUUAUUGGCGUUCUGAAGUCUUUUUCGGAUCCAAAUUCUGCUCUUUCAUACUUUAAGAUGGUUUCCCUGUUGCCCAAUAUUGUGCAUACCCCUGAAACAUGCAAUUACAUGCUUGAGUUCUUGAGGGUUCAUGGGAGGGUUGAGGAUAUGGUCUUCGUCUUUGAUUUGAUGCAAAAGCAACUAAUUAACCGGAAUCCAAAUACAUACCUGACUAUAUUUAAGGCUCUUUCGAUUAAAGGUGGGAUUCGACAAGCACCAUUUGCACUUGGAAAGAUGAGGCAAGCUGGGUUUGUCUUGAAUGCAUAUUCAUAUAAUGGACUGAUUCAUUUCCUGCUCCAACCUGGCUUUUGUAAAGAGGCUUUGAAGGUUUACAAAAGAAUGAUCUCGGAAGGGAUGAAGCCUAGCAUGAAGACCUACUCAGCAUUGAUGGUAGUAGCAUUGGGGAGGAGAAGGGACACCAGAACCAUUAUGGAUUUAUUAGAAGAGAUGAAAACUUUGGGUUUGAGGCCAAAUAUCUACACAUAUACCAUAUGUAUUAGAGUGCUUGGGAGGGCGGGGAUAAUUGAUGAUGCAUAUGGGAUUUUAAAAGACAAUGGAUGAUGAAGGAUGUGGGCCUGAUGUUGUCACUUAUACAGUUCUAAUUGAUGCACUUUGUGCUGCAGGGAAACUAGAUAAGGCCAAGGAAUUAUAUACAAAGAUGAGAGCUAGCAGUCACAAACCAGAUGUGGUGGUAACUUACAUUACUUUAAUGAGCAAGUUUGGUAACUAUGGCGACUUAGAAACAGUGAAAAGAUGCUGGAGUGAGAUGGAGGCUGAUGGUUUGAUCAGGCAAGUCUCUGGGCUUUAUGCAAGUCUGGAAAAGUUGAUCAGGCAUUUGAUAUGUUAGAUGUGAUGAGAGUGAAAGGAAUUUUUCCAAAUCUUCAUACUUACAACACGCUGAUCUCUGGGCUUUUGAACCUGAGAAGAUUAGAUGAGGAAUUAGAGCUUUUCAACAAUAUGGAAUCUUUGGGUGUUGAACCUACUGCUUAUUCAUACAUUCUUUUCAUUGACUAUUAUGCAAAGUUGGGGGAUCCUGAAAAAGCUCUUGACACCUUUGAAAAAAUCAAAAAGAGAGGCAUUAUGCCUAGUAUAGCAGCAUGUAAUGCAUCUUUAUAUAGUCUUGCUGAAAUGGGUAGGAUCAGAGAAGCAAAAGAUAUAUUCAAUGUUCUUCACAAUUGUGGGCUUUCACCGGACUCAGUAACCUAUAACAUGAUGAUGAAGUGCUACAGCAAAGCAGGACAAAUAGACAUAGCCACAAAACUUUUGACUGAGAUGUUAAGCAAAGGGUGUGAACCAGAUAUAAUUGUAGUUAAUUCUUUAAUUGACACACUUUACAAGGCUGGCCGAGUUGAUGAAGCAUGGCAAAUGCUUGCAAGACUGAAGGACUUGAAGCUAGCUCCUACAGUUGUGACAUACAACAUUUUACUUACUGGUUUAGGGAAAGAGGGAAAACUCUUAAAGGCCCUUGAUUUGUUUUGGAGUAUGAAAGAGUCUGGAUGCCCUCCAAACACGGUGACUUUUAACGUACUCCUCGAUUGUCUUUGCAAGAACGAUGCAGUUGAUUUGGCCUUGAAAAUAAUGUUCUGUAGAAUGACAAUUAUGAACUGUAAUCCUGAUGUUCUGACGUAUAACACUAUCAUCUAUGGCUUGCUCAAAGAAGGUAGAGCUGGUUAUGCAUUCUGGUUUUACCAUCAAAUGAAGAAAUUUCUCUCCCCUGAUCAUGUAACUUUGUACACCCUCCUUCCUGGUGUUGUAAAGGAUGGAAGGGUUGAGGAUGCGAUCAAGAUUGUCAUGGAAUUUGUACAUCAGUCAGGUUUACAGUCGGUAAUCAAGUCUGGGGAGAAUUAAUGAAAUGUAUUUUGAUUGAAGCUGAAAUAGAAGAGGCCAUUUCAUUUGCCGAAGGAUUGGUAUGCAAUUCUAUUUGCCAGGAUGAUAAUUUGAUAUUAACUCUUGUUAGAGUCCUGUAUAAGCAAAAGAAGGCUCUAGAUGCUAAACAAUUGUUUGAUAAAUUCACCAAAACUUUGGGAAUUCACCCAACCCCAGAAUCAUAUAACUGCUUGAUGGAUGGGUUUCUUGGAUGUAAUAUCACUGAAGCAGCUUUGAAACUUUUUGUUGAGAUGAAGAAUGCAGGUUGUUGUCCAAAUAAUUUCACCUACAACUUGCAGCUUGAUGCUCAUGGCAAAUCUAAGAGGAUUGAUGAACUUUUUGAACUGUACAAUGAGAUGCUUUGUAGGGGAUGCAGGCCCAAUAUUAUAACCCAUAAUAUUAUCAUCUCUGCCCUUGUGAAAUCUAAUAGCAUAAACAAGGCAUUAGAUUUAUAUUAUGAAAUCGUAAGUGUUGAUUUCUUUCCCACUCCUUGGUCAUACGGCCCUCUUAUAGGUGGCCUUUUAAAGGCUGGAAGAUCGGAGGAAGCAAUGAAGAUUUUUGAGGAGAUGCCAUAUCAAUGCAAGCCCAAUUGUGCUAUUUAUAAUAUUCUUAUCAAUGGAUUUGGGAAAGCAGGCAACGUUAAUAUUGCUUGUGAUUUGUUCAAAAGGAUGGUUAAGGAAGGGAUAAGGCCUGACUUGAAGUCUUAUACCAUUCUUGUAGAGUGUCUGUUCAUGACUGGUAGAGUUGAUGAUGCUGUGCACUACUUUUUUUUUUUUUUUGGAAGUUAACUGGCCUUGAUCCCCGAUACUGUUUCUUACAAUCUUAUGAUCAAUGGCCUUGGAAAAUCAUGUAGGUUGGAGGUAGCUCUUUCUCUUUUAAGUGAAAUGAAGAAUAGGGGAAUUUCUCCUGAUCUCUAUACUUGCAAUGCAUUGAUUAUCCAUUUUGGAAAUGCUGGAAUGGUGGACCAAGCAGGAAAGAUGUUUGAGGAACUGCAACUUAUGGGUCUUGAACCAAAUGUCUUCACUUAUAAUGCUCUCAUUCGUGGGCAUAGUAAGUCAGGAAACAAAGAUCGAGCCUUUUCUGUCUUCAAGAAGAUGAUGGUUGUGGGGUGUAGCCCCAAUGCAGGAACAUUUGCCCAAUUGCCUAAUAAAUGCUGAUUUUACUGAGAUAUCUCAUGGGGACCUUUUCUUAUGUGCCUGAUCUCAAAAGGGAGGCAUGAAGGUUCACUUUGUCUUGGAAAUGGUCUUGGAGAUUGGAAUUGCAUACCAAUCUUUCAAUUAAUGAUUGGUAUGCAAAUUAUUUGUAUGAUUCUGGAAAUUCCUGCUGAUUAAUGCUGACAAUUACUUGUGUAAAAAAAAGUAUCCUGGUUCUUGCAAUAACUUUUGAGGACCCAUUCUGUACAUUAGACUGCAUACACAGUUGAGGCUUUCGAGGCUGAUGAUAGAGAGGUGGGAAUGGAGAAAGGGUGGAAGUGUAUGUUGCUGGGAAAAGGGGGAAAUAAUGGAAUUGACAACAAAAAUGUAAGGGCUUCUAUUUGUAUAAAAAUCAAAUACUGAAUAAAACUGACAACAAAAUGUAAGGGCUUCUAGAGCCCGUUGGUGCCAAAUCAAAUCCUGAAUAAACUGACAACAAAAAAGUUGUCCUUUUAUUCAAUUUCGAUUGAUUUUUGGAUCUUAUGUUCAAAAUUGAAUUGAAUCAAACGGAAUUGUAAGCAUAUUAAAUUUAUAUUACUUUUGGUAUUUUUUUAAAAAAUAAACUUGAGAUUAUGUUGAGCAAGUAAUUACAAUUU